UACGUAGGGGGCAAGCGUUAUCCGGAAUUACUGGGUGUAAAGGGAGCGUAGACGGUAAUGUAAGUCUGGAGUGAAAGGCGGGGGCCCAACCCCCGGACUGCUCUGGAAACUAUGUUACUAGAGUGCAGGAGAGGUAAGCGGAAUUCCUAGUGUAGCGGUGAAAUGCGUAGAUAUUAGGAGGAACACCAGAGGCGAAGGCGGCUUACUGGACUGUAACUGACGUUGAGGCUCGAAAGCGUGGGGAGCAUACAGG
rnacentral:rRNA from 1 species